rnacentral:rRNA from 1 species
GUACACUCCUGCGGGAGGCAGCAGUGGGGAAUCUUGCGCAAUGGGCGAAAGCCUGACGCAGCCAUGCCGCGUGAAUGAUGAAGGUCUUAGGAUUGUAAAAUUCUUUCACCGGGGACGAUAAUGACGGUACCCGGAGAAGAAGCCCCGGCUAACUUCGUGCCAGCAGCCGCGGUAAUACGAAGGGGGCUAGCGUUGCUCGGAAUUACUGGGCGUAAAGGGAGCGUAGGCGGACAUUUAAGUCAGGGGUGAAAUCCCGGGGCUCAACCUCGGAAUUGCCUUUGAUACUGGGUGUCUUGAGUAUGAGAGAGGUGUGUGGAACUCCGAGUGUAGAGGUGAAAUUCGUAGAUAUUCGGAAGAACACCAGUGGCGAAGGCGACACACUGGCUCAUUACUGACGCUGAGGCUCGAAAGCGUGGGGAGCAAACAGGAUUAGAAACCCCAGUAGUCCCAUG